rnacentral:pre_miRNA from 10 species
GCUGCUUGAAGUUAAUUUCUUUAUGCGUUCCCUUCUCAUACAUUCGUCACAGUGACAUUCAAACACUGGACGGAAGUCUGAUAAGGGUUCGCUGGGGGAUCUUCUUCGUUAUGUUAAG